rnacentral:rRNA from 1 species
UACAGAGGUGGCAAGCGUUGUUCGGAAUUACUGGGCGUAAAGGGCGCGUAGGCGGCCUUCUAAGUCAGACGUGAAAUCCCCAGGCUUAACUUGGGAACUGCGUCUGAUACUGGGAGGCUUGAGUGCGGGAGAGGGAUGUGGAAUUCCAGGUGUAGCGGUGAAAUUCGUAGAUAUCGAGAGGAACACCGGUGGCGAAGGCGGCCUUCUGGACAGUGACUGACGCUGAGACGCGAAAGCGUGGGGAGCAAACAGG